GAAUUCGCCCUUCGCCCGCCGCGCGCGGGCGGGGCGGGGGCACGGGGGGCUACGGGAGCAGCAGCCGCGGUAAUACAAGGGCGAAUUC
rnacentral:rRNA from 1 species